UUUGGGAUAAGCCUGGAAACUGGGUCUAAUACCGGAUAUGACUUUCUGACGCAUGUCAGGUGGUGGAAAGCUUUUGUGGUUUUGGAUGGACUCGCGGCCUAUCAGCNUGUUGGUGGGGUAAUGGCCUACCAAGGCGACGACGGGUAGCCGGCCUGAGAGGGUGACCGGCCACACUGGGACUGAGACACGGCCCAGACUCCUACGGGAGGCAGCAGUGGGGAAUAUUGCACAAUGGGCGCAAGCCUGAUGCAGCGACGCCGCGUGAGGGAUGACGGCCUUCGGGUUGUAAACCUCUUUCAGUAGGGAAGAAGCGAAAGUGACGGUACCUGCAGAAGAAGCGCCGGCUAACUACGUGCCAGCAGCCGCGGUAAUACGUAGGGCGCAAGCGUUAUCCGGAAUUAUUGGGCGUAAAGAGCUNAUAGGCGGUUUGUCGCGUCUGCUGUGAAAGACCGGGGCUCAACUCCGGUUCUGCAGUGGGUACGGGCAGACUAGAGUGCAGUAGGGGAGACUGGAAUUCCUGGUGUAGCGGUGAAAUGCGCAGAUAUCAGGAGGAACACCGAUGGCGAAGGCAGGUCUCUGGGCUGUAACUGACGCUGAGGAGCGAAAGCAUGGGGAGCGAACAGGAUUAGAUACCCUGGUAGUCCAUGCCGUAAACGUUGGGCACUAGGUGUGGGGGACAUUCCACGUUUUCCGCGCCGUACGCUAACGCA
rnacentral:rRNA from 1 species